rnacentral:rRNA from 1 species
UWAAACUGAAGAGUUUGAUCAUGGCUCAGAUUGAACGCUGGCGGCAGGCYUAACACAUGCAAGUCGAGCGGAAACGAUGGKAGCUUGCUWCCAGGCGUCGAGCGGCGGACGGGUGCGUAACGCGUAGGAAUCUGCCCAGUAGCGGGGGAUAGCCCGGAGAAAUCCGGAUUAAUACCGCAUAAGCCCUACGGGGGAAAGCAGGGGAUCUUCGGACCUUGCGCUAUUGGAUGAGCCUGCGUCGGAUUAGCUUGUAGGUGGGGUAAUGGCCUACCUAGGCAACGAUCCGUAGCUGGUCUGAGAGGAUGAUCAGCCACACUGGGACUGAGACACGGCCCAGACUCCUACGGGAGGCAGCAGUGGGGAAUAUUGGACAAUGG